rnacentral:rRNA from 1 species
UACAGAGACUGCAAGCGUUAUUCGGAUUCACUGGGCGUAAAGGGUGCGCAGGCGGCCAUGUGUGUCAGGUGUGAAAGCCCGGGGCUUAACCCCGGAAUUGCGCCUGAAACUACAUGGCUAGAGCAUUGGAGAGGGUAGCGGAAUUCACGGUGUAGCAGUGAAAUGCGCAGAUAUCAGGAAGAACACCUAUGGCGAAGGCAGCUCUCUGGGACGGUACUGACGCUGAGACGCGAAAGCGUGGGGAGCGAACAGG